rnacentral:rRNA from 1 species
AGGGUUCGAUUCUGGCUCAGGAUGAACGCUGGCGGCGUGCUUAACACAUGCAAGUCGAACGGGAUCCAUCAGGCUUUGCUUGGUGGUGAGAGUGGCGAACGGGUGAGUAAUGCGUGACCGACCUGCCCCAUACACCGGAAUAGCUCCUGGAAACGGGUGGUAAUGCCGGAUGCUUCGACUCCUCGCAUGGGGUGUCGGGAAAGAUUUCAUCGGUAUGGGAUGGGGUCGCGUCCUAUCAGGUAGUCGGCGGGGUAACGGCCCACCGAGCCUACGACGGGUAGCCGGCCUGAGAGGGCGACCGGCCACAUUGGGACUGAGAUACGGCCCAGACUCCUACGGGAGGCAGCAGUGGGGAAUAUUGCACAAUGGGCGCAAGCCUGAUGCAGCGACGCCGCGUGCGGGAUGACGGCCUUCGGGUUGUAAACCGCUUUUGAUCGGGAGCAAGCCUUCGGGUGAGUGUACCUUUCGAAUAAGCACCGGCUAACUACGUGCCAGCAGCCGCGGUAAUACGUAGGGUGCAAGCGUUAUCCGGAAUUAUUGGGCGUAAAGGGCUCGUAGGCGGUUCGUCGCGUCCGGUGUGAAAGUCCAUCGCUUAACGGUGGAUCUGCGCCGGGUACGGGCGGGCUGGAGUGCGGUAGGGGAGACUGGAAUUCCCGGUGUAACGGUGGAAUGUGUAGAUAUCGGGAAGAACACCAAUGGCGAAGGCAGGUCUCUGGGCCGUUACUGACGCUGAGGAGCGAAAGCGUGGGGAGCGAACAGGAUUAGAUACCCUGGUAGUCCACGCCGUAAACGGUGGAUGCUGGAUGUGGGGCCCGUUCCACGGGUUCCGUGUCGGAGCUAACGCGUUAAGCAUCCCGCCUGGGGAGUACGGCCGCAAGGCUAAAACUCAAAGAAAUUGACGGGGGCCCGCACAAGCGGCGGAGCAUGCGGAUUAAUUCGAUGCAACGCGAAGAACCUUACCUGGGCUUGACAUGUUCCCGACAGCCGUAGAGAUAUGGCCUCCCUUCGGGGCGGGUUCACAGGUGGUGCAUGGUCGUCGUCAGCUCGUGUCGUGAGAUGUUGGGUUAAGUCCCGCAACGAGCGCAACCCUCGCCCUGUGUUGCCAGCACGUCAUGGUGGGAACUCACGGGGGACCGCCGGGGUCAACUCGGAGGAAGGUGGGGAUGACGUCAGAUCAUCAUGCCCCUUACGUCCAGGGCUUCACGCAUGCUACAAUGGCCGGUACAACGGGAUGCGACACGGCGACGUGGAGCGGAUCCCUGAAAACCGGUCUCAGUUCGGAUUGGAGUCUGCAACCCGACUCCAUGAAGGCGGAGUCGCUAGUAAUCGCGGAUCAGCAACGCCGCGGUGAAUGCGUUCCCGGGCCUUGUACACACCGCCCGUCAAGUCAUGAAAGUGGGUAGCACCCGAAGCCGGUGGCCUAACCCUUUGUGGAUGGAGCCGUCUAAGGUGAGACUCGUGAUUGGGACUAAGUCGUAACAAGGUAGCCGUACCGGAAGGUGCGGCUG